rnacentral:rRNA from 1 species
UACGGAGGGUGCAAGCGUUAUCCGGAUUUACUGGGUUUAAAGCGUGUGUAGGCGGUCUCAUAAGUCGGGUGUGAAAGCCCCGGGCUCAACCCGGGAAGUGCACUCGAAACUGCGAGGCUAGAGUACUGGAGAGGUUGGUGGAAUUCUCGGUGUAGAGGUGAAAUUCGUAGAUAUCGAGAGGAACACCGGUGGCGAAGGCGGCCAACUGGACAGAUACUGACGCUGAGACACGAAAGCGUGGGGAGCAAACAGG